rnacentral:rRNA from 1 species
GAUGAACGCUGGCGGCGUGCCUAAUACAUGCAAGUCGAGCGAACAGACUAGGAGCUUGCUCCUCUGACGUUAGCGGCGGACGGGUGAGUAACACGUGGAUAACCUACCUAUAAGACUGGGAUAACUUCGGGAAACCGGAGCUAAUACCGGAUAAUAUAUUGAACCGCAUGGUUCAAUAGUGAAAGACGGUUUUGCUGUCACUUAUAGAUGGAUCCGCGCCGCAUUAGCUAGUUGGUAAGGUAACGGCUUACCAAGGCGACGAUGCGUAGCCGACCUGAGAGGGUGAUCGGCCACACUGGAACUGAGACACGGUCCAGACUCCUACGGGAGGCAGCAGUAGGGAAUCUUCCGCAAAGGGCGAAAGCCUGACGGAGCAACGCCGCGUGAGUGAUGAAGGUCUUCGGAUCGUAAAACUCUGUUAUUAGGGAAGAACAAAUGUGUAAGUAACUAUGCACGUCUUGACGGUACCUAAUCAGAAAGCCACGGCUAACUACGUG